GGUUAAGCGACUAAGCGUACACGGUGGAUGCCCUGGCAGUCAGAGGCGAUGAAGGACGUGCUAAUCUGCGAUAAGCGUCGGUAAGGUGAUAUGAACCGUUAUAACCGGCGAUUUCCGAAUGGGGAAACCCAGUGUGAUUCGUCACACUAUCAUUAACUGAAUCCAUAGGUUAAUGAGGCGAACCGGGGAACUGAAACAUCUAAGUACCCCGAGGAAAAGAAAUCAACCGAGAUUCCCCCAGUAGCGGCGAGCGAACGGGGAGCAGCCCAGAGCCUGAAUCAGUGUGUGUGUUAGUGGAAGCGUCUGGAAAGGCGUGCGAUACAGGGUGACAGCCCCGUACACAAAAAUGCACAUACUGUGAGCUCGAUGAGUAGGGCGGGACACGUGGUAUCCUGUCUGAAUAUGGGGGACCAUCCUCCAAGGCUAAAUACUCCUGACUGACCGAUAGUGAACCAGUACCGUGAGGGAAAGGCGAAAAGAACCCCGGCGAGGGGAGUGAAAAAGAACCUGAAACCGUGUACGUACAAGCAGUGGGAGCACGCUUAGGCGUGUGACUGCGUACCUUUUGUAUAAUGGGUCAGCGACUUAUAUUCUGUAGCAAGGUUAACCGAAUAGGGGAGCCGAAGGGAAACCGAGUCUUAACUGGGCGUUAAGUUGCAGGGUAUAGACCCGAAACCCGGUGAUCUAGCCAUGGGCAGGUUGAAGGUUGGGUAACACUAACUGGAGGACCGAACCGACUAAUGUUGAAAAAUUAGCGGAUGACUUGUGGCUGGGGGUGAAAGGCCAAUCAAACCGGGAGAUAGCUGGUUCUCCCCGAAAGCUAUUUAGGUAGCGCCUCGUGAAUUCAUCUCCGGGGGUAGAGCACUGUUUCGGCAAGGGGGUCAUCCCGACUUACCAACCCGAUGCAAACUGCGAAUACCGGAGAAUGUUAUCACGGGAGACACACGGCGGGUGCUAACGUCCGUCGUGAAGAGGGAAACAACCCAGACCGCCAGCUAAGGUCCCAAAGUCAUGGUUAAGUGGGAAACGAUGUGGGAAGGCCCAGACAGCCAGGAUGUUGGCUUAGAAGCAGCCAUCAUUUAAAGAAAGCGUAAUAGCUCACUGGUCGAGUCGGCCUGCGCGGAAGAUGUAACGGGGCUAAACCAUGCACCGAAGCUGCGGCAGCGACGCUUAUGCGUUGUUGGGUAGGGGAGCGUUCUGUAAGCCUGUGAAGGUGUGCUGUGAGGUAUGCUGGAGGUAUCAGAAGUGCGAAUGCUGACAUAAGUAACGAUAAAGCGGGUGAAAAGCCCGCUCGCCGGAAGACCAAGGGUUCCUGUCCAACGUUAAUCGGGGCAGGGUGAGUCGACCCCUAAGGCGAGGCCGAAAGGCGUAGUCGAUGGGAAACAGGUUAAUAUUCCUGUACUUGGUGUUACUGCGAAGGGGGACGGAGAAGGCUAUGUUGGCCGGGCGACGGUUGUCCCGGUUUAAGCGUGUAGGCUGGUUUUCCAGGCAAAUCCGGAAAAUCAAGGCCGAGGCGUGAUGACGAGGCACUACGGUGCUGAAGCAACAAAUGCCCUGCUUCCAGGAAAAGCCUCUAAGCAUCAGGUAACAUCAAAUCGUACCCCAAACCGACACAGGUGGUCAGGUAGAGAAUACCAAGGCGCUUGAGAGAACUCGGGUGAAGGAACUAGGCAAAAUGGUGCCGUAACUUCGGGAGAAGGCACGCUGAUACGUAGGUGAAGCGACUUGCUCGUGGAGCUGAAAUCAGUCGAAGAUACCAGCUGGCUGCAACUGUUUAUUAAAAACACAGCACUGUGCAAACACGAAAGUGGACGUAUACGGUGUGACGCCUGCCCGGUGCCGGAAGGUUAAUUGAUGGGGUUAGCGCAAGCGAAGCUCUUGAUCGAAGCCCCGGUAAACGGCGGCCGUAACUAUAACGGUCCUAAGGUAGCGAAAUUCCUUGUCGGGUAAGUUCCGACCUGCACGAAUGGCGUAAUGAUGGCCAGGCUGUCUCCACCCGAGACUCAGUGAAAUUGAACUCGCUGUGAAGAUGCAGUGUACCCGCGGCAAGACGGAAAGACCCCGUGAACCUUUACUAUAGCUUGACACUGAACAUUGAGCCUUGAUGUGUAGGAUAGGUGGGAGGCUUUGAAGUGUGGACGCCAGUCUGCAUGGAGCCGACCUUGAAAUACCACCCUUUAAUGUUUGAUGUUCUAACGUGGACCCGUGAUCCGGGUUGCGGACAGUGUCUGGUGGGUAGUUUGACUGGGGCGGUCUCCUCCUAAAGAGUAACGGAGGAGCACGAAGGUUGGCUAAUCCUGGUCGGACAUCAGGAGGUUAGUGCAAUGGCAUAAGCCAGCUUGACUGCGAGCGUGACGGCGCGAGCAGGUGCGAAAGCAGGUCAUAGUGAUCCGGUGGUUCUGAAUGGAAGGGCCAUCGCUCAACGGAUAAAAGGUACUCCGGGGAUAACAGGCUGAUACCGCCCAAGAGUUCAUAUCGACGGCGGUGUUUGGCACCUCGAUGUCGGCUCAUCACAUCCUGGGGCUGAAGUAGGUCCCAAGGGUAUGGCUGUUCGCCAUUUAAAGUGGUACGCGAGCUGGGUUUAGAACGUCGUGAGACAGUUCGGUCCCUAUCUGCCGUGGGCGCUGGAGAACUGAGGGGGGCUGCUCCUAGUACGAGAGGACCGGAGUGGACGCAUCACUGGUGUUCGGGUUGUCAUGCCAAUGGCACUGCCCGGUAGCUAAAUGCGGAAGAGAUAAGUGCUGAAAGCAUCUAAGCACGAAACUUGCCCCGAGAUGAGUUCUCCCUGACCCUUUAAGGGUCCUGAAGGAACGUUGAAGACGACGACGUUGAUAGGCCGGGUGUGUAAGCGCAGCGAUGCGUUGAGCUAACCGGUACUAAUGAACCGUGAGGCUUAACCUU
rnacentral:rRNA from 1 species